rnacentral:tRNA from 1 species
AAGUUAAAUAAUUUAAAUAAAAAUAGUUACUUUGAAAGUAAAAUAUAGAUCCUAUCUUUUAACU